rnacentral:rRNA from 1 species
AUGCUUUUCCUAAAGAUUAAGCCAUGCAUGUCUAAGACUAAGAGGAAGCAAUUCUCUCUGAAUCUGCGAACGGCUCCGCACACCAGUUGUAAACCAUAGCAAGGCUGAGCCGGCGAAACCCUCGGGCGGUAACCGGCAACAUAAGGAUAACCCUGGUAAUUCUGAGGCUAAUACUCGACGAACCGAACCGUCUUCGGCGCUUGCGCUGGAGGCGGGAACGUGCGACCUGUUUAAGCUGGGUUAAUCAUGAAUGAACGCACGUUCAGACCACCGCUUCGUGGGUCAGCCUUCGGGUUGGCCCUGGUGGCCCUUGCAACGGGCUUCUGACCUAUCAACUCGAUAGCAGCGUAAGGGACAUGCUAUGGUGACUACGGGUACAGAGGAUUAGGGUUCGAUCCUGGAGAGUGGGCCUGAGAGAUUGCUCAUACUUCUAAGGAAGGCAGCAGGCGCGCAACGUUCCCCUUGGGCAUCGCUCGAGGGCGUUAGGGGAAAUAUGAAUGGCUGCCUACAAGGUGGCCAAUUCAAAUGGGUCUGUCGUAAAAAGGCUCU